rnacentral:rRNA from 1 species
UCAGGCCUAACACAUGCAAGUCGAACGGCAGCACGGGGCAACCUGGUGGCGAGUGGCGAACGGGUGAGUAAUACAUCGGAACGUGCCCAGUCGUGGGGGAUAACGUAGCGAAAGCUACGCUAAUACCGCAUACGAUCUACGGAUGAAAGCGGGGGAUCGCAAGACCUCGCGCGAUUGGAGCGGCCGAUGGCAGAUUAGGUAGUUGGUGGGGUAAAGGCUCACCAAGCCGACGAUCUGUAGCUGGUCUGAGAGGACGACCAGCCACACUGGGACUGAGACACGGCCCAGACUCCUACGGGAGGCAGCAGUGGGGAAUUUUGGACAAUGGGCGCAAGCCUGAUCCAGCCAUUCCGCGUGCAGGAUGAAGGCCUUCGGGUUGUAAACUGCUUUUGUACGGAACGAAACGGUCCUGGUUAAUACCCGGGG